UCGAGGGGUAGUUACUUUCGGGUAAUGAGACCGGCGCACGGGUGCGUAACGCGUAUGCAAUCUACCUUUUACAGGGGAAUAGCCCAGAGAAAUUUGGAUUAAUGCCCCAUAGUAUGUAUGAAUCGCAUGGUUUAUAUAUUAAAGUUCCAACGGUAAAAGAUGAGCAUGCGUCCCAUUAGUUAGUUGGUAAGGUAACGGCUUACCAAGACGAUGAUGGGUAGGGGUCCUGAGAGGGAGAUCCCCCACACUGGUACUGAGACACGGACCAGACUCCUACGGGAGGCAGCAGUGAGGAAUAUUGGACAAUGGGCGCAAGCCUGAUCCAGCCAUGCCGCGUGCAGGAAGAAGCAUCUAUGGUGUGUAAACUGCUUUUGUACGGGAAGAAACACUCCCUCGUGAGGGAGCUUGACGGUACCGUAAGAAUAAGGAUCGGCUAACUCCGUGCCAGCAGCCGCGGUAAUACGGAGGAUCCAAGCGUUAUCCGGAAUCAUUGGGUUUAAAGGGUCCGUAGGCGGUUUGAUAAGUCAGUGGUGAAAGCCCAUCGCUCAACGAUGGAACGGCCAUUGAUACUGUCAGACUUGAAUUACAAGGAAGUAACUAGAAUAUGUAGUGUAGCGGUGAAAUGCUUAGAUAUUACAUGGAAUACCAAUUGCGAAGGCAGGUUACUACUUGUGGAUUGACGCUGAUGGACGAAAGCGUGGGGAGCGAACAGGAUUAGAUACCCUGGUAGUCCACGCCGUAAACGAUGGAUACUAGCUGUUGGGAGCAAUCUCAGUGGCUAAGCGAAAGUGAUAAGUAUCCCACCUGGGGAGUACGUUCGCA
rnacentral:rRNA from 1 species